CAGCCGUAAACUAUGCUCGCUAGGUGUCAGGCAUGGCGCGACCGUGUCUGGUGCCGCAGGGAAGCCGUGAAGCGAGCCACCUGGGAAGUACGGCCGCAAGGCUGAAACUUAAAGGAAUUGGCGGGGGAGCACAACAACGGGUGGAGCCUGCGGUUUAAUUGGACUCAACGCCGGACAACUCACCGGGGACGACAGCAAUAUGUAGGCCAGGCUGAAGACCCUGCAUGACUAGCUGAGAGGAGGUGCAUGGCGUAGACGUGU
rnacentral:rRNA from 1 species